UACGUAGGUGACAAGCGUUGUCCGGAUUUACUGGGCGUAAAGAGCGCGCAGGCGGUCGUUCAAGUCGCGUGUGAAAGCCCCCGGCUCAACUGGGGAGGGUCACGCGAUACUGCUCGACUUGAAGGCAGGAGAGGGAAGUGGAAUUCCCGGUGUAGUGGUGAAAUGCGUAGAUAUCGGGAGGAACACCCGUGGCGAAGGCGGCUCUCUGGGACGGUACUGACGCUGAGACGCGAAAGCGUGGGGAGCGAACAGG
rnacentral:rRNA from 1 species